rnacentral:rRNA from 1 species
UACGUAGGGGGCAAGCGUUGUUCGGAAUUACUGGGCGUAAAGCGUGCGCAGGCGGUGAUGUAAGACAGGUGUGAAAUCCCCGGGCUUAACCUGGGAACUGCAUUUGUGACUGCAUCGCUGGAGUGCGGCAGAGGGGGAUGGAAUUCCGCGUGUAGCAGUGAAAUGCGUAGAUAUGCGGAGGAACACCGAUGGCGAAGGCAGCCCCCUGGGCUAGCACUGACGCUCAUGCACGAAAGCGUGGGGAGCAAACAGG